rnacentral:rRNA from 1 species
UACGUAGGGUGCGAGCGUUAAUCGGAAUUACUGGGCGUAAAGCGUGCGCAGGCGGCUUGCCAAGUCAGAUGUGAAAGCCCCGGGCUCAACCCGGGAACUGCGUUUGAAACUGGCAGGCUAGAGUUUGGCAGAGGGGGGUGGAAUUCUCGGUGUAGCAGUGAAAUGCGUAGAGAUGCGGAGGAACACCGAUGGCGAAGGCAGCCCCCUGGGCUAACACUGACGCUCAGGCACGAAAGCGUGGGGAGGAAACAGG